GGUAAAAUGGCCGAGUGUUUAGGCGGUAGGCUGUAGUCCUAUUUACAGGGGUUUAAUUCCCUUUUUUACCAAAGCCACGUGGUGUACAUAACACAUUAAAAUGCAAGUUUAAAGAAGAGCCCUGAAAGGCUCCGGGGCUUCUCCCGUUUUUUUAACAGACGGGAGAAGCUA
rnacentral:tRNA from 1 species